AGUAGUUUGAUCAUGGCUCAGAACGACGCUGGCGGCAUGCCUAACACAUGCAAGUCGAACGAAGCCUUCGGGGCUUAGUGGCGCACGGGUGCGUAACACGUGGGAAUCUGCCCUUCGGUUCGGAAUAACAGUUAGAAAUGACUGCUAAUACCGGAUGAUGACGUAAGUCCAAAGAUUUAUCGCCGAAGGAUGAGCCCGCGUAGGAUUAGGUAGUUGGUAGGGUAAUGGCCUACCAAGCCGACGAUCCUUAGCUGGUCUGAGAGGAUGAUCAGCCACACUGGGACUGAGACACGGCCCAGACUCCUACGGGAGGCAGCAGUGGGGAAUAUUGGACAAUGGGCGAAAGCCUGAUCCAGCAAUGCCGCGUGAGUGAUGAAGGCCUUAGGGUUAUAAAGCUCUUUUACCAGGGAUGAUAAUGACAGUACCUGGAGAAUAAGCUCCGGCUAACUCCGUG
rnacentral:rRNA from 1 species